UGUCAAACGGCGACGCGUUCCCCCGGUUAUUACGGUUUUGACGUCUCUCUCUCUCUCUGCAACAAGCAAGAGAACGGCUGCGGCGACGGUGAAGGCGAAGCCGACGCUCUACGUCAGCGACAAUAUGGUAUUCUUCACGGAGAUCUAACCGUAGAUGUCCUUCUUCUUCCGUCCUCGUGCUUCUCUCUCGACCAGUUUCUUCUCCGCGUUCACCGAUGGAAGCAUCUCCUGUUAUUUCUGCGGCAUCUCCGAUAGAAUUCGUUCGAUCCGGCAUAUCUGUCCAGUUCCAAGCCUAAGCGUUGUGUCGUCAUUACGGUUAUCCUUUCUCAAGGGGAUCUAUAACUGAACACCUCCUCCUGAUCUGGCAUCUUACUUGUUCGAAAGCCGAAUUGUUUAGUUGGGUGGUGAUAAGCUGGGCUAUGAGAGUGAGGAUUUGGCAGUCUAUGAUGCCACGAGAUCCUUUUGUAAAGAACGAAGCAGGUAAGAUAGUGGAGUUGUUUCAGAAUCUGAACACAUUAUGGCGUCCUGAUCCCCAGGUAAAGUGAAUUUACUGGUUUUCGUUCUCCACUAUAGCAUAUUCAUGAUGGUGUUGCUGCUUUUUGGAACAUUGAUCUCAUACCCUAUAAUCACUCAUAUCUAAUAGAAUUCAAACACCUUACACUCUAGGGGGCAUAUUCUGGAACUAGCGAGUAGAUUCUUGUCCUGUCCAUUUCUGGCCAAUUGUCCAAAGACUGGUCUUUUACUAGCAAAGAGGCACCUGUAAAAAGCUUGAUCAUUGCAUCAGUAUACAGAUCAGCUAGAAUUGAGACCCAUCAAAACGUGGUGAUGCAUAUUUUAAGCCUAUAUGUAAGUGCUCCAGUGCCUCGUGUCUUCCAGUUUUGCUUGCAUAAACCCUGUCCCACAGUUUCAAAAUAGUCACUUCCCCAUCUUCCUCUAUUGCUUCGGACCCAUAUUUAGUUAGUGGUAUCAUUUUCAUUGCCCAUUAUAACAGCCUUCUCUAGCAUCAUCCGACACAUGUCCAAGGAUUUUGCAUGCUCAUUUGAACCUUUUUUUAGUCCUAAAUUCGUGGUUUUUGUACCUUAUUUAAUCUCAUGCUCGUAUUUUUGUUUUUUAUAUAAAUUUAGACAUAUUAGACUGCGAUUUUGAUGAUAGGAUAUAGAUACUCCAUGGUUUUUCAGCUUUUAUGUUACUUUCUUUGCACAAACUAGGGGACAUUUCGUUUCUCAAUCAAAAUUUUGCUCGUGUUUAAGUAGGCACAGAAUUGCAAGUUCAUAUAAACCGGUUAGUGUGGGAUUAUAUAGACAUGAGUCGGGCUUAAACACACUUUUUUGUUGGCACACGAGAGUUAUAAAAAUUCAAGGGCUGUUAGACCGGUAAGGGAUGGGCAAAGCUCUUAUCAAGGUUCAAGUCUCCACUUAAGGAGAGACAUUCAGCUGGACCUCUUCGGUCCUUUGGAAGCUGUAGUUGGAUCGAAAGCACGGUGAACCUGCAGAUUAUAAAACAAAACUUUCUUUUUUUGAAUCGCGAGUGAUUUACUGUUUGUCUGGUAAAUGGCAAGGAAUUGAUUGUUUGUAUCGGUUUUGGUCGGAUGAUGCAGAGUUGAACUGAACCAUAUGCAUACAGAUACGGAAAGAACCAAUGAGGUAACAUCAUUGAACGUAUGUUUUUCGUAUAUUUGAUGUCUUUAGGGUAUCUCAGGAACAGAGAUUGGUCUUUUUUUGGGCUCGGUUUGGUCUGAAUUAUAUUGUGUAUAUUAUAAUCAGGUUGUCGUGUAUAUAUAUAUAUAUAUAUAUAAUUGGACCGUAGGUUGAGGUUUAUGUAGGCCAUAGAAGAGCAAGAACUCACCAACCCCAAUAUCUUCGGCCUUCUAUUAAAAACUCACACUUGGAACUUGGAAGUGGAUCACAACCCCCUAGUCUUUAUUUCUUUAUUUAUUUUGGUAAUACGUGAUUUAAUAGCAUUUUUGAGAUAUAGAUUACUCUAUGAUUCUUUUGUGCUAUGUAUUAUUAUUAUUA